rnacentral:rRNA from 1 species
AGCUCCAAUAGCGUAUAUUAAAGUUGUUGCAGUUAAAAAGCUCGUAGUCUGACCCUUGGCGGGCACUAAGCGUCCGGGACGAAAGUCACGAGCACGCGAAGCGCUCUUGCCAUGUACUUCGGAGGAACGCGUGGGCUUUUCACUAAGCGCACGAUCGGGAUUCUGAUAGUUUACUUUGAGAAAAAUAGAGUGUUCAAAGCAGGCAUUUUCGCCUUGAAUACAUUAGCAUGGGAUAAUGAAAUAGGACAUUGGUUUUCCUAUUUUGAUGGUUUAAGGACCGAUGUAAUGAUUAAUAGGGACAGUUGGGGACAUUCAUAUUCUAUGGCUAGAGGUGAAAUUCUUGGAUUCAUGGAAGAUGAACUACUGCGAAAGCAUUUGUCAAAGAUGUUUUCAUUGAUCA